AUGCAAGUCGAACGGAAAAUAUAUAGAUGCUCGCAUUUAGAUAUUUUUAGUGGCGAACGGGUGAGUAAUAUAUAGAUAACCUACCUUUUAAGUUGGGGAUAACAGAGGGAAACUUUUGCUAAUACCGAAUAAAAUAAUUAGACGCAUGUUUAAUUAUUAAAAGGGGCUUCAAAGCCCCGCUCGAAGAGGGGUCUAUAUCGCAUUAGCUAGUUGGUAAGAUAACAGCCUACCAAGGCGAUGAUGCGUAGCUGUACUGAGAGGUAGAACAGCCACAUUGGGACUGAGAUACGGCCCAAACUCCUACGGGAGGCAGCAGUAGGGAAUUUUCGGCAAUGGGGGGAACCCUGACCGAGCAAUGCCGCGUGAUUGAAGAAGAUCUUCGGAUCGUAAAGAUCUGUUAUUAGGGAAGAAUGGAAUUGAUAGGAAAUGAUCAAUUUAUGACGGUGCCUAAUGAGAAAGCCCCGGCUAACUAUGUGCCAGCAGCCGCGGUAAUACAUAGGGGGCGAGCGUUAUCCGGAAUUAUUGGGCGUAAAGGGUACGUAGGCGGGCCUGCAAGUCUGAUUUGAAAGCACACGGCUUAACCGUGUGAGGUAAUUAGAAACUACAGGUCUAGAGAGUGGUAGAGGUAAAUGGAAUUCCAAGUGGAGCGGUGAAAUGCGUAGAGAUUUGGAGGAACACCAGUGGCGAAGGCGGUUUACUGGGCCACAUCUGACGCUGAUGUACGAAAGCGUGGGGAGCAAACAGGAUUAGAUACCCUGGUAGUCCACGCCGUAAACGAUGAGUGCUAAGUAUCGGAGGAUUCGGUGCUUAAGCUAACGCAGUAAGCACUCCGCCUGGGGAGUACGGUCGCAAGACUGAAACUCAAAUGAAUUGACGG
rnacentral:rRNA from 1 species